GCGAGUAAGACCCUGCCCUAGUGGCUCGGUCAGUCCCAUCAUAUACACCUUUAUUCGUGAACUCGUGGUUCAGCUGGACGAUGAAAGCUUUGGCGACUAGCCGUCCGUCGGCUCCGCUCUUUAUACCCUUUAUGUGAAGUCAAUGGAAAUUAUGAUAAUCUAAUA
rnacentral:misc_RNA from 1 species